rnacentral:rRNA from 1 species
AACCCGUGAAUUGCAUCUAAUACUGGUUCUCUUGAGUUCGGGAGAGGAGAGCGGAAUUCCCGGUGUAGCGGUGAAAUGCGUAGAUAUCGGGAAGAACACCAGUGGCGAAGGCGGCUCUCUGGCCUAGAACUGACGCUAAGGCGCGAAAGCGUGGGGAGCGAACGGGAUUAGAUACCCCGGUAGUCCACGCCGUAAACGUUGUAUACUAGGUGUUAGUGAAUUUAUUCAUUAGUGCCGAAGCUAACGCAUUAAGUAUACCGCCUGGGGAGUACACUCGCAAGGGUGAAACUCAAAGAAAUUGACGGGGGCCCGCACAAGCGGUGGAUCAUGUGGUUCAAUUCGAUGAUACGCGAAGAACCUUACCUGGGCUUGAACUGUGCCUGACAGGUGUAGAGAUACACCCUCCUUCGGGCAGGUACAGAGGUGCUGCAUGGUUGUCGUCAGCUCGUGUCGUGAGAUGUUGGGUUAAGUCCCGCAACGAGCGCAACCCUUACUCCUUGUUGCUAACAGGUUAUGCUGAGCACUCUAGGGGGACUGCCGGUAAUAAGCCGGAGGAAGGUGAGGAUGACGUCAAAUCAUCACGGCCUUUAUGUCCAGGGCUACACACGUGAUACAAUGGUCGGUACAAAGAGCUGCAAGACCGCGAGGUGGAGCUAAUCUCAAAAAACCGGCCUCAGUUCGGAUUGUAGUCUGCAACUCGACUACAUGAAGUUGGAAUCGCUAGUAAUCGUGGAUCAGAACGCUACGGUGAAUACGUUCCCGGGCCUUGUACACACCGCCCGUCACACCAUCCGAGUUGGCAGCACCCGAGUUGGC